rnacentral:rRNA from 1 species
UAUUGGUCAAUAGCCUAACCGGCUGAACCAGCAACUUGGAGGAAUGUACAGGGAAAACUGGUAAAAUGUGAUGUACCUGAUAGUAUUAGUGAUUAAUAUGAAAUUAACUAAGUUAAUUAAAAUUCAAAGUAGAUAUGUGAUUAUGACAAUAUUUGCUUAUUUCUUGACCAAGUCACGUGCCAGCAGUCGCGGUAAUACGUGGAAGAUAAGUGUUAUUCAUCUUUAGUAGGUUUAAAGGGUACCUAGACGGUUAAUUAAGCAUAUAAAUGUACUAAUUAUUAACUAGAGUUUAAUGUAAGAAGGAUUGAGUACGGUGAGUGAAGAGAUAAAAUUCUGUCAUACCACUUAGGAACUGGUAAAGGCGAAGGCAACCUUUUAUGUAAAAACUGACGUUGAGGGACGAAGGCUCGUAUUAAGUAAUAGGAUUAGAGACCCUAGUAUUGUGGGCAGACAAUGAUGAGUGUCAUAUGCAAGAAAAAUUUUUGUGUAUAAAUGAAAGUGUAAGCAUUCCACCUCAAGAGUAACGUGGCAACAUGGGAACUGAAAUCAUUAGACCGUUUCUGAAACUCGUAGUGAAGUAUGUUGUUUAAUUUGAUAAUCCUCAAAGAACCUUACCACAAUUUGUAUUACUAGUAUAUAUUAGUAACAAGCGUUGCACGGCUGUCUUCAGUCAAUGUUGUGAAACUUUGGUUAGAUCCAUUAAAUUGACGUAAACCCUUGCUUUAUUUGUUAUAAAGCAGUUCGCCGCUAUAUUGGUAAUGAUAUAAGGGACCAAGACAAGUCAUCAUGACCUGAACAUUGUGGGCUAUAGAC